CCUACGGGGGGCAGCAGUAGGGAAUAUUGCGCAAUGGGCGAAAGCCUGACGCAGCAACGCCGCGUGAGUGAUGAAGGAUUUCGGUUCGUAAAGCUCUGUUGCAGGGGAAUAAGAAAGUGAAGGUACUCUGUGAGGAAGGGACGGCCAACUUCGUGCCAGCAGCCGCGGUAAUACGAAGGUCCCUAGCGUUGUUCGGAAUCAUUGGGCGUAAAGCGUGCGUAGGUGGCUUUAUAAGUCAGGUGUGAAAGCCCGGGGCUCAACCCCGGAAGUGCACUUGAAACUGCAAAGCUUGAGUACGGAAGAGGUGAGUGGAAUUCCUGGUGUAGUGGUGAAAUACGUAGAUAUCAGGAGGAACAUCGGUGGCGAAGGCGGCUCACUGGUCCAGUACUGACACUGAGGCACGAAAGCAUGGGGAUCAAACAGGAUUAGAUACCCCAGUAGUC
rnacentral:rRNA from 1 species